rnacentral:rRNA from 1 species
UCGGGAAUUUUGGGCAAUGGGGGAAACCCUGACCCAGCAACGCCGCGUGAAGGAUGAAGUAUUUCGGUAUGUAAACUUCGAAAGAAUAGGAAGAAUAAAUGACGGUACUAUUUAUAAGGUCCGGCUAACUACGUGCCAGCAGCCGCGGUAAUACGUAGGGACCAAGCGUUGUUCGGAUUUACUGGGCGUAAAGGGCGCGUAGGCGGCAUGACAAGUCACUUGUGAAAUCUCUGGGCUUAACCCAGAACGGCCAAGUGAUACUGUCGCGCUAGAGUGCAGAAGGGGCAAUCGGAAUUCUUGGUGUAGCGGUGAAAUGCGUAGAUAUCAAGAGGAACACCUGAGGUGAAGACGGGUUGCUGGGCUGACACUGACGCUGAGGCGCGAAAGCCAGGGGGAGCAAACGGAGUAGU